GUAAGUGUUCCUCUCUCCCCCGUAUCCUCCACUGUAUGUUUUUUUUUUUUUUUUAAUGCAGCCAUUCUGACUGGGGUGAGAUGGAGUCUCAAAGCAGUUUUCAUUUGACUUAGCGAUCCUAGCUAAGGAUGUUGAGAACCUUUUAAAGCAUGUAUUAGCUAUUUGCAUUUCCUUUUUGAGAAGUGUUUAUUCAGUUUAUUAGAUUAUUUAUUAACGGGGUAAACAGCAUUUUAGGUGUUUAUUUAUUGUUUUUAGUGUUUUGAGAUGGGGUUUCUCUGUGUGGUUCUAGCUGUUCUGUAACUCUUUCUGUAGACCAAGUUGGCCUUAAACUCAGUGAUCCACCUGCCUCUGCCUCCCCACUACCACACCUAGUUUGUGUGUUUGUUUUUUGCAGUUCUUUAUAUAUCUUGAAAAAUAUGGACUACUUCAUGAAUUUGUGUAUCAUCAUCGUACAGGGGCCACACCAGUCUUCUGUGUAGUCUUCUGGCUUUAGUAUAUAUGCAGGGAAAAACUGCGAUGAAGUCAUCAGGAAACUAAUCACAUGUUCCACAAAGGGAACACAGUAUAUCUCAAGACUGAGAACACAGCAGCCCUGGAACUGAUAAACAUACCCACCAGAGGGAGGAAAGUCCAGUUCCCAUGUGUUUGGGAUAUUUAUACACUGUGUGAAGAUGUAUUGCUGUGAUUGGUAUAAUAAAGAGCUGAAUGGCCAAUAGCUACGCAGGAAGAAUUUAAGCAGGACUUCUGGAGACAGAGAGGACUCUGGGAAGAAGAAGAAGGGUGGAGUUGCCAGCCAGAGGCAGAGGAAGCACUUUGGCAGUACAGAGAAAGGUAAUGCCACAUGGCAGAACAUAGAUGAAUAUAAAUGGGUUAAUUUAAGUUAUAAGAGCUAGUUGGGAGAAAGCCUAAGCUAAGGCCGGGCUUUCAUAAUUAAUAAUAAGUCUCCAUGUCAUUAUUUGUGAGUUGGUGGCUCAAAGAAAAAUCCAUCUACACCCAGGAAACCUUAACUUCUUUGAGGUACUGGCUCCAUCUCUGGCUCAGACCUUGCCAAGUCUGCCCCCAUGCAAGGGCAUAGGACUAACAUCCCCUUUGUCCUUUCAUCAGGUCUCUUUGAAAGCCUUGGAUCAUCCUGGCUCCCAACAGGCUCCAGUGAUACAGGGCCUUGUAAGCUAUGAUGGAAAGUUUGGAUUUUAUUCUGGUUGCAGUGGAAUAGUAUUGUAGGUCUUGAAGACAAUGAAUAAACUUGAUUUAAUUUCAGCUUUCAAAUUGUUACUCUGGCUGCUAUGUGCAAAAUAAGGAACUUGGAAGAAUGGAAAUUAAAUAGACUAUUUUAUUGGCCAAGGAAAGAGGUGACAGCGGCUGGACCAGGAUAGCAGCAAUGGAGACAAUGGUAAAAGGUUGGAUUUAGAGCAUGUUUGUCAGGUAGAGAGAGAUUUGAAUGUGGGUUGAGGAAAGGGAGAGCAGAAGAAUGAAGUCUAAUCUUCCAUACUCUCCAAUCAUCAGGGUGAUGGGGAAGGCUGAGAGCUGGAAGAAUUAACUUAUAAUAAUUUUUGUGACUUGGUAAUAUCUUCAAGAAAUCUAAAUGGAAACAUCAAAUGAAUAAUUUUGAUAUACUAUUCCCAGCUCACGCUGACCUAUCAAAAUCCAUUUACUUAAUCAGCUUGGAGAUAACAUAUGACCCAAUGGUACUGGAUGUAAUCACUUAGGAAGAAGGUAUGAUGAAAAAUGCACUCCUGGGUCCCACCCUGGCACUGUGUUAUUUGGAGAUCUUGUAUGAGAGGAAGAGUCAAAAAUGGAAAUGGAGUGAAUAAGAACGCCAUGUAAGAAUAGGACCUCUCAAGUCUGGAGAAAGUUUUCAGAAAGGAGUGGCCACCUGUGUCAAGUGCUGUGAAGAUGCCAGUGAGGAAUGAAAACAAAUGCUUGGUGACAUGUUGGUGAUGGAUGGCAUGGGACAUCGUUAUUCAUCACACAAAUUCAUAUGCUUACUACUUCUCCAAGGCUGCUGUGGUAUCUUCUAAUGCUCACCGUCAGUUGGCAGUUUGCCCAGCAGUUUUAUCAUCUUGUUUUCUGGGAGUUUUAUCCCUAUAUUUUUCAGCAUCUAUAACACAGAGAGACCUCAGCAAGAGCUGAUACUGGACUAGGUUGCUAUGCUGAAAGAAGUACUUUCCUUGGACUGACACUGUCAUGGACCUUACUAAUUUUUAAAGUCGUAUGAAAAAAGUCGCCAUUCUCCAAAGGUUUAAUUACAAACAUGUGUGGGUGCACACUGUUCCUCACACUCAAUUUUCUUUGCAGGCUGUUUUCCUGUGACUGGAAAGCAAAUGCUUAUGAUAAAUUAUAUUUAUUUAAUAUGGGACUUAGUAAAGAUAUGGUGUUGAAUUAUUUCUAUUUCCAGCUUUUGCCUAAGACAUUAAACUAUAGUAAUAUCAACUUUGCAGACUCUGUUUAAAAAUAGAAGUGACUGGGGUGCACUAUUUCCUGGUAGGAUGCAAGAGCUUUCAUGCUGAAAGAAAGCUGGGAGGUAGGAACAAUUGAAAGACUAAAUGCGUCAUGUCUAUAAAAAACAAAUGACAAGCAAAAGCUAUAAAGUGUUCCUGUCACAUCCAUUUCUGUCUUUACAAUAAGGCACUAUAAGCCUUUUGAGUCCUUUUAAAACUCUUCGCUGGAUGAUUUUUUUUUUCAAAUUAUUAGAAAAAUUUCUGUUUUAUGAAAAGGUAGUAUAUUCUUGGUUUGGUCAUAUCCUGAAAUUAAAGAAAAUUCCACUAUAGUAAAAACUAGUUAUUUUACUUGACCCAUUUCAGAGAGAAAUGGAGGAGUUGGUCCUUGGUUCACCCGACAGUCACUGCAUCUGUCUCCUUGGACUCUGCAGUUGGAAACUUUGGCAUUUUCCCUCUAUAUUGACGUGAAAUGGAAAAACUUGAUAUGAGAAGAAAUUUAAAGUAUUUAUGUAUUUCUUUCGUAGUGGAUUAAAACAUACACAGGUCUCUGCCCUCCAAACAGUGGGGUUUCACGGAAUUCCAUGUGAUUGCCAGCAAAGCUGGCAAGCAAUCCAAUGUGGGAUAUUCUUCUGUAUGCUGUGAGUAUAUGUUGCUUUUAUUGGUUGAUUAAUAAAGCUGUUUUGGCCUAUGGCAGGGCAGAAUAUAUCAAGGAAGGAAAUACAAACAGAGAUGUGGAGAGAAAGAAGGUGGAGUCAGGCAAAUGCCAAGUAGCCACCCGAGGAGUGAGAUGCUAGAGUAUUACUGUCCAGCAGGUGGCUACUGACAACCUGGAGAUGGGUCUCUAAUGUGUCUCCUAUGGGAUCACCAACCUGAAAAGAAUGUCUCAGGGAAAGAAUUGCUACUUCUGGAACUAAAAUAGUUGUAGUAUUUCACUCAUGUUUCCAGACAGCUGGAAAACAAGGAAAAGCAUGACCUUUGUGACUGGAUUUUAAAAAAAAAGGUCCAAACCAGAGAGACCAUUGCCACCAACUAAAGAAAUGAAAAGGAAUAUACCGGAAUACAAAUGACUUCAUACCAACACUCAGACAAUUCAGACAGAAUGGACACAUUUUCAGAAAGGCAAAAACUAUAGAAUCUGACUCAAGAGGAAGAAGACUAAACUUAACCACAUGGCUUAAGGCUCUUCUGGUGACUUCCCAGUCCAUCCUCCCCACCCUGGACACUUUGGAACUUGAAGCAGAAAUUCUAGCCUUGCAGGUUGUGCUUAAAGCAGAAAAUGACUUAACAACUCAAGAAACAAAGCAGGCCAACCAACAGAUUUGUCCUCACCCAAAACAUGAAAAGCAAAACAUGGGGAACCCAGUCUUACUCAUUUCUCUCUCACCUUUGAGGAACAUGACACUAUCCAUCAACCUGUGCUUGUACACCUUCCCGGCAGCUGCAAAGCAAGGUGCAUAACCGCAGAGUUAGAACCCAGGACACCUAUGACACAGCUCAAACUCCGAUGUCUCAGGAAACUACUCUAGGG
ensembl:lncRNA